rnacentral:rRNA from 16 species
AAGUAAGAAAGGGCGCACGGCGGAUGCCUAGGCUCUCGGAGGCGAUGAAGGACGUGGCAAGCUGCGACAAGCCGCGGGGAGGUGCAAGCAACCUUUGAUCCGCGGAUAUCCGAAUGGGACAACCCGGUGCCCUGAAGGGGCAUCAUCCCGCACAGCGGGAGGCUAACGCAGGGAACUGAAACAUCUUAGUACCUGCAGGAAAAGAAAAUAACAAUGAUUCCCCCAGUAGUGGCGAGCGAACGGGGAAUAGCCCAAACCGCGGGUGUUACGGCAUCCGCGGGGUUGUAGGACCGCGCC